rnacentral:rRNA from 1 species
ACGCUCGACACCUACGGGAGCAGCAGUGGGGAAUAUUGGGCAAUGGGCGAAAGCCUGACCCAGCAACGCCGCGUGAGGGAAGAAGGUUUUCGGAUUGUAAACCUCUGUCCUCAGGGACGAAGGACGUGACGGUACCUGAGGAGGAAGCCCCGGCUAACUACGUGCCAGCAGCCGCGGUAAUCUGAGCGGGCUGGCGAAGGC